rnacentral:lncRNA from 1 species
UCCAGCCUAGCGGCAGAGCAAGCGUCCAUCUCAAAAAAAAAAAAAAAAAAGAGUUUAAUUGCUUAUCUCAACAAAACUAUGAAAUCAGAGCAGCAGGUGACAUGAAGGAGGCAACUACCAAAAAUGCCAUGUCUAUAUGCAGAAAUGCCAGCGUGAAUGUCCUCCACAAUGUUAGCAAUGGUCAGGUUGGGGAUGGGCUGUUGCGGGUGAUUUCUUUACAUGGUAUUUGCUUAUAGUGCUUGGAUUUUUUUUCUUUCUUUUUUUUUUUUUUUGCCAAUGUAUUUAAAUUUUCACAAAAACAAAAGCCUUUUUAAAAGCAAAAAGAUAGGUCAGGAGUUCGAGAC